UAGGCUAUGUCGGAUUAUUGGGCGUAAGAGCUCGUAGGCGGCUUGUCACGUCGGGUGUGAAAGCCCGGGGCUUAACCCCGGGUCUGCAUUCGAUACGGGCUAGCUAGAGUGUGGUAGGGGAGAUCGGAAUUCCUGGUGUAGCGGUGAAAUACGCAGAUAUCAGGAGGAACACCGAUGGCGAAGGCAGGUCUCUGGGCAUUAACUGACGCUGAGGAGCGAAAGCAUGGGGAGCGAACAGGAUUAGAUACCCUGGUAGUCCAUGCCGUAAACGUUGGGCACUAGGUGUGGGGGACAUUCCACGUUUUCCGCGCCGUAGCUAACGCAUUAAGUGCCCCGCCUGGGGAGUACGGCCGCAAGGCUAAAACUCAAAGGAAUUGACGGGGGCCCGCACAAGCGGCGGAGCAUGCGGAUUAAUUCGAUGCAACGCGAAGAACCUUACCAAGGCUUGACAUGGGCCGGACCGGGCUGGAAACAGUCCUUCCCCUUUGGGGCCGGUUCACAGGUGGUGCAUGGUUGUCGUCAGCUCGUGUCGUGAGAUGUUGGGUUAAGUCCCGCAACGAGCGCAACCCUCGUUCCAUGUUGCCAGCGCGUAAUGGCGGGGACUCAUGGGAGACUGCCGGGGUCAACUCGGAGGAAGGUGGGGACGACGUCAAAUCAUCAUGCCCCUUAUGUCUUGGGCUUCACGCAUGCUACAAUGGCCGGUACAAAGGGUUGCGAUACUGUGAGGUGGAGCUAAUCCCAAAAAGCCGGUCUCAGUUCGGAUUGGGGUCUGCAACUCGACCCCAUGAAGUCGGAGUCGCUAGUAAUCGCAGAUCAGCAACGCUGCGGUGAAUACGUUCCCGGGCCUUGUACACACCGCCCGUCAAGUCACGAAAGUUGGUAACACCCGAAGCCGGUGGCCUAACCCCUUGUGGGAGGGAGCUGUCGAAGGUGGGACUGGCGAUUGGGACUAAGUCGUAACAAGGUAAC
rnacentral:rRNA from 1 species